rnacentral:rRNA from 1 species
CGUUAAAACUUUCAACAACGGAUCUCUUGGUUCUGGCAUCCAUGAAAAACGCAACGAAAUGCGAUAAGUAAUGUGAAUUGCAGAAUUCAGUGAAUCAUCGAAUCUUUGAACGCACAUUGCGCCCAUUAGUAUUCUAGUGGGCAUGCCUAUUCGAGCGUCAUUUCAACCCUUAAGCCUUGGUUGCUUAGCGUUGGGAAUCUACG